rnacentral:rRNA from 1 species
UGCAGAAUCCCGUGAACCAUCGAGUCUUUGAACGCAAGUUGCGCCCCAAGCCUUCUGGCCGAGGGCACGUCUGCCUGGGUGUCACAAAUCGUCGUCCCUCUCAUCCUUUUAGGACGUGGGACGGAAGCUGGUCUCCCGUGUGUUACCGCACGCGGUUGGCCAAAAUCCGAGCUAAGGACGCCGAGAGCGUCACGACAUGCGGUGGUGAACUAAAGCCUCUUCGUAUUGUCGGUCGUUCUUGUCCAUAAGCUCUCGAUGACCCAAAGUCCUCAAAGCGACCCCAGGUCAGGCGGGAUCACCCGCUGAGUUUAAGCAUAUCAAUAAGCGGAGGAGAAGAAACUAACAAGGAUUCCCUUAGUAACGGCGAGCGAACCGGGAAGAGCCCAGCUUGAAAAUCGGAUGUCUUCGACGUUCGA